GGGUUGUGAGGUUAAGCGACUAAGCGUACACGGUGGAUGCCCUGGCAGUCAGAGGCGAUGAAGGACGUGCUAAUCUGCGAUAAGCGUCGGUAAGGUGAUAUGAACCGUUAUAACCGGCGAUUUCCGAAUGGGGAAACCCAGUGUGAUUCGUCACACUAUCGUUAACUGAAUACAUAGGUUAACGAAGCGAACCGGGGGAACUGAAACAUCUAAGUACCCCGAGGAAAAGAAAUCAACCGAGAUUCCCCCAGUAGCGGCGAGCGAACGGGGAGGAGCCCAGAGCCUGAAUCAGCAUGUGUGUUAGUG
rnacentral:rRNA from 1 species